rnacentral:lncRNA from 1 species
CGACGCCUUAUUCAGCCACAAGCCGUUUCUUUCGCUAGUUUUCUUGAUUCAGAUGUUUAACUACCGACUAUAUUUUCGAGCGACUGGAAAAGCCGCUGAUUUACAGACGAAUGAUUUUCAAAUGAACGAGAAAUGACGUUUAUUUUUGGUCGCAGGGAAAACCCAUUCAACGUCAUCAGAGAGGUCUUCCCGUAAGCGUAACACGAUACGCGAUGAUAAAGCCGAGCAGCGAAGAUGAAGAUAAAAACUCGUCUUGCGAUCCAAGUUCGCGUAGUGCGCUUAGCGUUCUGUCAUGCUAAACGAGGUGUUCUCCAGGGUAGAAUGCUCAAGUGCGAGGGAUCAAAACAGACUAACAAUCUCGAGGACCUGUUGUCUACAAACAGGGAAGUGAUUUGACAUCAGGCCGCUUGGACGUAACAUUGACGUAAUCAACAUAUAAUUAUUAAAGACCGGAAAACAUGCUGACAUGCAGACAAGAAAUUUACAAAGGCAAAGACCGCUAGACAGUUAACAGAACUUCCACAGCCGAGUUUUCAACCGAGUUACAACCCACAAUACAAGAACUUCAAGAGUUCGAAGAAGAGGCGAUUGAUCAAAAUCCAGAGGUUUCUUGGACUGAUCCAGUCUUGUAAAUGGGGUGGAAAAAAGUUUCAACAACCCCAGAUACCUCAAGUACUUCCCGACGAGAUUUGCAUCAGAACAACGAAGGACAACAGCACGAUUCAUUGAGACUUUCCGAGAGGCGAUACAGGAAAAGACGAAACGCCAUGACACUUUGCAUGAUGGAGGACCUCUUACAGGCAGAGAACUUUCAAAGUCUUUUAAAUAUUUACACAACGAGAAGAGGAUCUAGAAAUUCCGUGGAAUAGAUGUUUUCACCGUUCCAAGCUUGAAAUAUCAAUUCUCUUGUUGGUUUGCUUAGGCAAUGAAUUGAUGUUGAACGGAGAAAUUUGACUUUGAUCACCGUUAGGAGUUAAUUAAACAGUGUUUGGAUUGUGUGGAUAGAAGAUAACAAUGGCCAAGAUUCACAUUGUAUGUACGGUGGUUGCGUGUAAAUCAGCAAUUGGGUACCCAGUGCAAGCAAUAUCAUACACAAUCAUUUCAUUCAAAAUCACUGACGGCCCGGACGUUGUGCCAGCUUAUAAACUGUCCAAUAAGCAAGCUUAGCUGAUAUCAGAAUUAGCAGUUGUAAACACUUUUGCAAUAUAAUUAUUUAUAGGUAAUCAGAAGUCGAUAAGACAUCUGAAGUUAUUUUACAGAAGCUUUAACAGUACCAGGUGAAAAGAGCUGGAAUCGAUCAACGACAAAACAAGAUUAUUUUAACUGUUUUAAACCUUUUUGAUCAUGUCUUGAAAUGAAUAUAUUUUCUUUUGUAGAUAGGUAAGCAUUUUCAUACUUUUUAUUCUCAGCUGCAUGUCAACUAUAAUUAAGCACGUUUAUGAAAUUACAGGUUCUGAAAGGGUGCGUGACUUCUGGCAAAUAACGUGUUCGUCGUAUAUGUCACUAAUCUGAUUCUGUAAUGUAGAAAUAAAAAUGCUUUUACUCUA